rnacentral:rRNA from 1 species
AGGACGAACGCUGGCGGCGUGCUUAACACAUGCAAGUCGAGCGGAAAGGCCCUUCGGGGUACUCGAGCGGCGAACGGGUGAGUAACACGUGAGCAACCUGCCCCUGGCUCUGGGAUAGCCUCCGGAAACGGGGAUUAAUACCGGACAUGACCCUUGACCGCAUGGUUGGGGGUGGAAAGUUUUUCGGCCAGGGUGGGGCUCGCGGCCUAUCAGCUUGUGGGGGGUGACGGCCCACCAAGGCGACGACGGGUAGCC